rnacentral:tRNA from 2 species
GGGGGUGUAGCUCAGCCGGGAGAGUGCUUGCAUGGCAUGCAAGAGGUCAGGGGUUCGAUCCCCCUCACCUCCA